rnacentral:lncRNA from 1 species
CUUUUAUUUCAUUCUUUUGGAAUCGGAGAGAAACAAGUUGCUGCCCCAGGAAAGCGUGCAUUUUCGGAGAUCACUCAUUGCAGAAGAAGCCAACUGCCAUGCCAGAGGGGCACUCAAACAGCUCUGCAAGGAAGUCCCUGUGAUAAGCAACUGAAGACUCUGCCAUCGGCCAUGAGAGCGCCACCUUGGAAACAGAUUCUUCAGCCUUAGUCAAAUUUUCAGAAGACUGUAUGUCCAGCCAACUUCUUGACUACAAUCCCUUUAUAGAUCCCAAGCUAGAACCUCCCAGCUAAGCCACUCCUGGAUUCCUGACCCUGAGAAACUCUGUGAGAGAAUAAAUGUUUAUUCUUGCCUUAAGCUCCUAAAUUUGGAGGUAAUUUGUUACUCAGUGAUAUGUAAUUAAAAAUGUCUGUAGUUAUCUACCCAUCCUUUUGGAGAGCACUACUGAGGACUAAUAUCAGACUUUAUACUCUUCCCAGAUGUUAUCAUUGAAGGAUAUUCAAGUACUCAAAUAUCUUAGGAUCAUUGAGUGGGAAAUCACCUCAGAGUCAUGUGCAGUUUCCUCAUUUUGCAGAUGCAAAUGCAGAGAAGCAGAGAGAGUUCAAUGAGAUGCUCAAAGACAUUUAAAUAAAUGACAAAAUUAGGCCUAGACCCUUCCCUGGUCUUCUUCUAUUGGAGUUCUUCUUUCUCCUUCUUUCUCUUUCCCUCCCUCCCUCCCUUCCUUCCUUCCAUCUUGCCUGCCUGCCUGCGUUCUUCUGUCCUGCCUUCCUGCCUUCCUCC